AACAGCAACUUUAUAUGUAAUUUAAAAAGGCAAAGAGAGUGUUGAGGAAAUCGACCAAUUUAUCUUUUUCGUUGUAGAAGUAGUAAACCGAUAUACGAUCUAAAUUGGCUCUUUUUAUAAAUCGACAGACGAAUGCUCGAAUGCUCGAAUGCUCUCUGGAAUAUCCUAGUGUAAAUACCUGUUGGUUGGCUAAAUAGUGGAUCAAUAGGUGUAACUCGCAAGUUCAGCGAAUAUCCGCUCAGCUAAUAUUUGGCAAAUCGAAAGAGUAAACAAAGGUCAUCGAAUCUGAGUGGCACAGCGUAGAAACGACUGACUUGAUUAUCCUUGUUACUUUUAUUUAUCGCUUCCCUAUACGAGUUGGGUAAAAGGCAGGAAGGAAAUUAUUUGUACUGGAAUCCGGAAUAUGCCGCAGGUAGCUAAAAGAAAUUGACUCGACAUGUACAAUAUAUGAACAUAAAAAUCGACUAUGUAAAAACUACUUAAUUAGAUAUACACCAAGCUUUUUUUGUUAAAUGUCAUUUUACAUCAUGAUGACUAAAAAUUAAUUUCCUCACAAUUAUUACAUAUAAAA